rnacentral:rRNA from 1 species
AACGUAGGACACGAGCGUUAUCCGGAGUUACUGGGCGUAAAGGGCGAAUAGGUGGUGCGAUAAGACUGGUGUGAAAGCCUUCGGCUUAACCGAGGGAGGACACUGGUGACUGUCGGACUUGAGGCAGAUAGAGGGGUGUAGAAUUCCGGGUGUAGUGGUGAAAUGCGUAGAGAUCCGGAGGAAUACCAGAGGCGAAGGCGGCACCCUGGGUCUGACCUGACACUGAUCCGCGACAGCAUGGGGAGCGAACGGG